rnacentral:rRNA from 1 species
UGGGGAAUUUUGGACAAUGGGGGAAACCCUGAUCCAGCCAUCCCGCGUGUGCGAUGAAGGCCUUCGGGUUGUAAAGCACUUUUGGCAGGAACGAAACGUCAUGGGUCAAUACCCCGAGAAACUGACGGUACCUGCAGAAUAAGCACCGGCUAACUACGUGCCAGCAGCCGCGGUAAUACGUAGGGUGCAAGCGUUAAUCGGAAUUACUGGGCGUAAAGCGUGCGCAGGCGGUUCGGAAAGAAAGAUGUGAAAUCCCAGGGCUCAACUAUGGAAUUGCAUUUGUAACUGGCGGGCUAGAGUGUGUCAGAGGGUGGUGGAAUUCCGCGUGUAGCAGUGAAAUGCGUAGAUAUGCGGAGGAACACCGAUGGCGAAGGCAGCCUCCUGGGAUAACACUGACGCUCAUGCACGAAAGCGUGGGGAGCAAACAGG